rnacentral:rRNA from 1 species
ACAGGUGCUGCAUGGCUGUCGUCAGCUCGUGUCGUGAGAUGUCGGGUUAAGUCCCUUAACGAGCGAAACCUUUGCCCUUAGUUACCAGCGGGUUAUGCCGGGGACUCUAAGGGGACUGCCGGUGUCAAACCGGAGGAAGGUGGAGAUGACGUCAAGUCCUCAUGGCCUUUAUGCCCAGGGCCACACACGUGCUACAAUGGCGACGACAGAGCGAACCAAGAGCGCGAGCUGGAGGAAAUCGCAAAAACGUCGCCCCAGUUCGGAUUGGAGGCUGCAACUCGCCUCCAUGAAGGUGGAAUCGCUAGUAAUCGCGGAUCAGCUACGCCGCGGUGAAUAUGUUCCUGAGCCUUGUACACACCGCCCGUCAAGUCAUGGGAGCCGGGAAUAGCCGAAGUCGCCACAUCACGGUGGUGCCUACGCUAGGCUCGGUGACUGGGACUAAGUCGUAACAAGGUAGCCGUAGGGGAACCUGCGGCUGGAUCACCUCCU